rnacentral:rRNA from 1 species
GACGAACGCUGGCGGCGUGCUUAACACAUGCAAGUCGAACGGGAAGGACCUGCUUCUGUGGGGUGCUCGAGUGGCGAACGGGCGAGUAACAAGCGAGUAACCUGCCUUUGAUUUUGGGAUAACUUCAGGAAACUGGGGCUAAUACCGGACAGGAGUUCUUGCUGCCUGGCGGGGGUUGGAAAGUUUCGGCGGUUGGGGGUGGACUCGCGGCUUACCAGCUUGUUGGUGGGGUAGUGGCUUAGCAAGGCCUUGACGGGUAGCCGGCCUGAGAGGGUGACCGGCCACAGUGGGACUGAGAUACGGCCCAGACUGCUACGGGAGGCAGCAGUGGGGAAUGGUGCACAAUGGGCGGAAGCCUGAUGCAGCAACGCCGCGUGCGGGAUGACGGCCUUCGGGUUGUAGCCCGCUUUCGCCUGUGACGAAGCGUGAGUGACGGUAAUGGGUAAAGAAGCACCGGCUAACUACGUG